GCCUAACACAUGCAAGUCGAACGAGAAAGGGUCCUUCGGGGCCUGAGUAAAGUGGCGCACGGGUGAGUAACGCGUGGAUAAUCUGCCCUACAGUUGGGAAUAACCCACCGAAAGGUGUGCUAAUACCGAAUGAUGCUGAUUGAUUUUGGUCGAUCAGCCAAAGAGAGCCUCUUCUUUAAAGCCCUCGCUGUUGGAUGAGUCCGCGUACCAUUAGCUUGUUGGUAGGGUAAUGGCCUACCAAGGCUGUGAUGGUUAGCUGGUCUGAGAGGAUGAUCAGCCACACUGGAACUGAGACACGGUCCAGAUUCCUACGGGAGGCAGCAGUGAGGAAUCUUGCGCAAUGGGGAAACCCUGACGCAGCAACGCCGCGUGAGUGAGGAAGGUCUUCGGAUCGUAAAGCUCUGUCAGUUGGAAAGAAACGCCUGUGUGUUAAUACCACGCAGGUCUGACGGUACCAACAGAGGAAGCACCGGCUAACUCCGUGCCAGCAGCCGCGGUAAUACGGGGGGUGCAAGCGUUGUUCGGAAUUAUUGGGCGUAA
rnacentral:rRNA from 1 species